rnacentral:rRNA from 1 species
UACGUAGGGGGCAAGCGUUGUCCGGAUUUAUUGGGCGUAAAGCGCUCGCAGGUGGUUCGUUGCGUCGUGCGUGAAAGACCCCGGCUCAACUGGGGAGUGUCGUGCGAUACGGGCGGACUGGAGGCCAGUAGGGGGAUGCGGAAUUCCGGGUGUAGUGGUGGAAUGCGUAGAGAUCCGGAGGAACACCAGCGGCGAAGGCGGCAUCCUGGACCAACACUGACGCUGAGGAGCGAAAGCCAGGGGAGCAAACGGG